AGUGAACGCUGGCGGUAGGCCUAACACACGCAAGUCGAACGGCAGCACAGUAAGAGCUUGCUCUUACGGGUGGCGAGUGGCGGACGGGUAAGGAAUACAUCGGAAUCUACUUUUUCGUGGGGGAUAACGUAGGGAAACUUACGCUAAUACCGCAUACGACCUACGGGUGAAAGCAGGGGAUCUUCGGACCUUGCGCGAUUGAAUGAGCCGAUGUCGGAUUAGCUAGUUGGCGGGGUAAAGGCCCACCAAGGCGACGAUCCGUAGCUGGUCUGAGAGGAUGAUCAGCCACACUGGAACUGAGACACGGUCCAGACUCCUACGGGAGGCAGCAGUGGGGAAUAUUGGACAAUGGGCGCAAGCCUGAUCCAGCCAUACCGCGUGGGUGAAGAAGGCCUUCGGGUUGUAAAGCCCUUUUGUUGGGAAAGAAAAGCAGCAGGUUAAUACCCCGCUGUUCUGACGGUACCCAAAGAAUAAGCACCGGCUAACUUCGUG
rnacentral:rRNA from 1 species